UACGGGGGGGGCAAGCGUUGUUCGGAAUUACUGGGCGUAAAGGGCUCGUAGGCGGCCAACUAAGUCAGACGUGAAAUCCCUCGGCUUAACCUGGGAACUGCGUGUGAUACUGGAUGGCUUGAAUUCGGGAGAGGGAUGCAGAAUUCCAGGUGUAGCGGUGAAAUGCGUAGAUAUCUGGAGGAAUACCGGUGGCGAAGGCGGCAUCCUGGACCGACAUUGACGCUGAGGAGCGAAAGCUAGGGGAGCAAACGGG
rnacentral:rRNA from 1 species